GUAGACAUUAGUUUACUUCAUUCCUGAGAAUUCCAAACCAAAUCCAUUAGAUAGCAAUCACAUUAUAAUUUCCUGAUGCAACUCACCAAUUUAGUUAAGUAAAUGCCAACCGACAUAGAGCUAACCUCUAUGUAUACAUAGGUAGCAAUCCGAUUCUUGCAUCAAUUCUCAUAACGUACACCCAACUAUAUAUGCAGAUCUAAACUCUUUUACAUGCUCAAAUGAUACAUGUCGGAGGAUCAUUUUAUGUUGUACUUGAGUACGCAAAUCUUCGCAUAAUUCUUUCAGCCCGGAAAGAGAUUAGUAUUUUUGGAGUCGCGUGAAACUCGCGGGACUACCGUUAGCUAGGUAAUCACCCAAGGUACGUACCGACACUGUGGUCCGACUCCUCCUCAGUAGGUGUUGAUCAGCCGGGUCAGAGUUGCGCUCCUUUCUUUUUGGAGCAGCGGUCUUGGAGGUUUAGGUAUAUGCAUGUGAGCUUUACUUUUUGGGUAUGACGAGGGCCUUGUCCCAUCGUGUGGUCUUGUAUAUAUACUCUUAGAGGCUUGCAGACUAUUCUCUAGUCGUAUGUCAGUUUGUUAGUUCAGUUGAUUUGUAUAAUAAUGUAUCGACUCUUCUUUUGAUGGCCUUAUCGGCUGCUGUCCAUAUUGUAUAUAGUUGUUGAUGGAAGUUCUGCUA